rnacentral:rRNA from 1 species
GACGAACGCUGGCGGCGUGCUUAAUACAUGCAAGUCGAACGGAAAGGCCCUGCUUUUGUGGGUCGCUCGAGUGCCGCACGGGUGAGUAUCACGUGUGUAACCUGUCCUUAACUUUGUGAUAAAUCUAGGGAACUGGGGCUCUUAUCGCAUAGGAGCUUUUGCAGCGUGUGGUUGGUUGGUAAGUUACGGCGGUGGGGGCUGUACUCGCGGCAUAGCCGCUUGAUGGUGGGGUUGUGGCUUACCAAGGCUUUGACGGGUAGCCUGCAUUGGAGGGGGACCGGCCACAUUGGGACUGAGAUACGGCCCAGACGCCUACGGGAGGCAGCAGGGGAGAAUAUUGCACAAUGGGCGGAAGCCUGAUGCAGCAACGCCGCGUGCGGGAUGACGGCCUUCGGGUUGUAAACCGCUUUCGCCUGUGACGAAGCGUGAGUGACGGUAAUGGGUAAAGAAGCACCGGCUAACUACGUG